rnacentral:misc_RNA from 1 species
CGUCACGGCGACUCAUUCCCGUAAUGGCCGCCGUCUGGUGUUGUCAGUGAGUGUGCGAGUACCUGUCGGGAGCGGUUGCGUUUACGACGUCGGAUAGCGUUCGAGGUAGUCGCGGUAGUUCGGGUGAAACGAGACCGGUGACAGUCUGAGUGUGACGCGAGUGCGCGAUGUGCCGUGUCGUGUCGUGUCGCGGCUGAUUCGCGCCAGCGGCGAUUUAAAAGCGAGCGACUGGAUUUCGUACAUAGUGGUGUGUGCUACCCUUCUCUCUUCUGCCCUUCUCCCCCUCUCUCUCUCUCUCUCUUACAAACUUUUCUCCCGUUUCUCCCCUUUUAUUUCUCUCCCCCGUCCGUCCGUCCGUCCGUCUGUUUACCCGAAGCAUCGACCGCGACGAGUGUCAACGACUCGUCCGAAAAUCGGUGCGUCGAUCUGUCGUCUCUCUCUUUGUAUAUCUAUAUCUGUCCUGUCUUUUCGCGAGCGCGAGAUGAGACGCCGCUGAUGCAACGGCGUCGUCGCCGGGCUUCCUCGCCGAGAGAUGAUAAACACGUCGAGUAACAGCGCGCGCGAGUGAAGAGAGACGACCGUUUGUUUUUUUCCCUUUCUUUUUCUUUUCGGUUUGUCGAUAGUCGAUCCGAUAGACGAGAAACAAGAGUCGCUGCGGGGCCGCGGGUCCCGAAUUCUUCCUCACGUGGUUCAAGGUCAUUCUAAAAGCAUCCGGACGUCACGAGCGCGGACGGUACAAAGUGACGCUUUCCGCGCGAAAGAGCUGUCGGCGACCGUAUGGCAAGACUUUUCUGACUGGUGUUUUCGUCUCAACCCCCUGGAACACCCCGCGCAAGCUUCCUCGGACGUGACGACACCAAGUGUUGCAACGUCCGAUAUCCGAUGCACCGAAGAUCUGAAUCAGCCCGCGAGAAGUCGUCCGCCGACGACGAGGAGAGAGGAGCCGUGCCAAGUUCUGGUGCCGCGGUCUUCCUACGCUUCGCUUCGAAUCCGUGACGUUAUCCUGGAUCGCAUUGCACGUCUCUUCGAGGAUAACGUUCAUCCGUGAUCGACCGACUGUGAUUUCAACGUGUGACGCCACUGCCAAAAAGGAUACAAACUUGCAUCGAUCGCGAACUUGCGCUUUCGUCUUCGCUUCCUUCGCCUUCCAGUAUCUUCGUCGAGGACGAAGUCUUCCACGUUGUACCAGAAAGUAUAUUUCAUCGUCUUACACCGAAAACCCUCUAUGUCUUCCGCGGAUUUCCACGUCCUUAAUCGGCCAAGAAAAGGACUCUCGACUUCCUCAAACUUCGUUUGAAGUACACAAGAAAAUAAAGAAGGUGCGAUUCUUCUGCCGCUACGACAUCGAGUUCCUCGAGGAUGUCUCUUGACUAGAGAUCUCGAUUUGUUGACUUCAUAUCACGUUAAUCUUGAUCAUCUGUGCACCUUGCUUCUAUCAUCUGAACACGCUCGAAGCAUCCUGGUGUCUUCGUUUGCGGCCAUCGACAGUCUAGAAUUUUUCUCAUCACUCGGAUACGGCAGGACGACGCCGUGACGACCGAGAUCGAGGGGCACAUCUUCGAGCCGGCUGCGUGUGAUGCGUCGCACGCAGGGCCGCCGCUGCUGCUGCCGUUUCGCGUCAGCUUGCGCGACCGUCUCGUCGCAAUAACGGCGAAGAUGUUCGGGAAGGUGCCGCCGUCGAACACGCCGGGUCCGCCUAAUAAUAACGGCGGUCAGACGUCAGCUAAACCGUGCGUCAGACUGACGACGACGAUGACAACGACGAGCACGGCGUCGUGUUUGCCGUGCUUCUCGACGGAGGAGACGUCGACGUUGGGUGUCGAUGAUAAAGCGAGAUUCUGGCGACCGACGAAGGACAACACCGACGACUCUGUCGCGGUUGUCUCCGAAGCUCCUUGCAAUUCUCUCCAACCGUUCACGGACACCUCACCCGUCACAGAGCUUCCUAGAUCCUGCAGGACCGACCCGACGACAACGAUGAUCUGCGUCACCGCUUGUUCCAAGACCUCGGCCAAGUGUUCGCCCAAGGAAGCAGCGUCACAGAUUGGCAGGAAUCACGCCAAUGCGAUGCAAAAGUGCACCUCCAGUCAGAACUGUGCGAAUUUCCUGAAGGAAAUCCGAAAGGCCGGUAGAUCGCGGAGACCGCAAUCCGCCUCGACUGGUAGUCUCAAUGUCGAGUCGUGUACAAGAGACUGUACAAAAACUGUGAAGAAGAUUGUUGCCAUUGGUCGAGAGCCUUCGAGCGGCAAAGAGCAGCAGACAGCUGGCGACAGAACGACGUACAACGAGCAGCAAUCCAAAUGCUUUCAGGCCAAGUUACCCUCCGGGACGUCUUCCGAAAUGAUGAACCAACCACCAGGCGAAAAGAAAUCUAACGAGGAUCUCCUGGUGGACACAUCCGCGAGUUAUUCCUCAAACAGUGCAUCUAACGUGUCGACUGUAAGCGAGUUGUUGUAUGUGCAUCAAAAGCCGGCGCCGAGGAUAGUCGACGUAAAAGAUGGCGCCGGCGAUUCUACGAUCACCACCGCAACCUGCGAAGACGACUCCUGCGUCAGUGACUUCGUCACCUCGACGCCGGCCAAGGAUUGGACGUCUAGGAAGGUCAGCAGCGAUGCGUUGCAGAAUUGCGUGGCCUGUGCGCCGCAGGAUCUCCCCACGGAGCUGCAGUCGUCCACGUCCUUGAGGAACUACAAGGAGAAGUGUCGCGAUCUGUCUUGGCGACCCACGGAGAUGACGGAGAGCGCGAUACAUGGAUUGACAAUAUGUUCGGGCGAGACGUUUCAGGAUACGAGCUCCAAGAGACGCACCGGGGCAUCCUGUCAGGCGCUCAGGCACGCCGUCGCCUCGUUAAAUCGUCUGGACGACUUUUACAUGGAGAAAAUUGGCGCGGGCUUCUUCUCCGAGGUUUACAAGGUUACUCAUAAAGUGACGAGUCAGGUGAUGGUGCUCAAGAUGAAUCAGCUGCCGGCGAAUAGACCGAACAUGCUCAAGGAAGUUCAGCUCAUGAACAAGCUCAGCCAUCCGAACAUACUAAGGUUCAUGGGAGUGUGCGUACACGAGGGUCAACUGCACGCAUUAACGGAGUAUAUCAACGGUGGCAGCUUGGAACAGCUGAUUAUGUCACGGCAUACGCCGUUACCGCAUCUCAUCCGGAUGAACCUCGCCAGGGAUGUAGCUCGUGGUAUGGCCUACCUGCACAGCCGUGGCCUAUUCCAUCGUGAUCUUACGUCCAAGAACGUGCUGAUCAAGAAGGACGAGUGCAACAACGAGAUGAUCGCGGUUGUGGGUGAUUUUGGAUUGGCCGCAAAGAUACCGGACCCAAGCACGGGUUAUCGACUCAGUACUGUCGGUAGCCCUUACUGGAUGUCACCCGAGUGCCUCAAGGGUCAAUGGUAUGAUCACAGGUCCGACGUUUUCUCAUUCGGCAUCGUCGUAUGCGAGCUGAUUGGCCGAGUGCCGGCAGAUCCGGACGUUCUGCCACGCUCAGAUAACUUUGGCCUCGAUUAUCUGGCCGUGGCGGAGAUCUGCGCGGCCGCCGAUCCUCCGCCCGCCUUUCUGCAACUCGCCUUCAAUUGCUGUACAUACGAACCCAAGUCCAGACCAACCUUUCCGGAGAUCACGACUAAUUUGGAAACCAUAAUAGCGACCUGCGAAGAAGAAUUAAAAAGCAACGUGGGUAAACGACAAUCGACCGUCGAUUCGACGUUGAUGUCCAGUAUGGACGAAAUUACGCGAGAAGGACGCACGACAAAGCGACGUACUGCAAAAAUUAGAAGUCAGUCGGCAGACGCGAGAGGUUGUGAUAAUGCCACUCCCUCCGAUAAGGCGAGAUGUCAUUCCGCCAGGCGGGUGGCUGAGCUUGCCAGCAAACGGGAUCCGCAUUAUAGACCGAUGACGGCGAAUCCGUUUCACGCAUUGGGCGGUGUCAAAAAGAUCCUUGGUAAUCUGUUCUCCAGUUGUCUAGAGCUACCCUCCCUAGAAGAUGUGCGACCCAGUGCUAUUGACGGCGCGUGCAGCAAAUUCAAGCCGGCGCAGAAUGAUAGUAUCGCUAAGAUUCUGGACAGGAAAAAGCCGAGCUCUGAACCGAGCAGCCCUACUGCUAGAAAAAAAUGGGAGAGAAAAGUCGCCACCAAGGUAGGAGCUGCGAGUCUCUUUACUCAUCCCCUCUUUCGCGAUGGUUGGGAACCACGGAGACGUGGCAGCUGCGAAUCCGGCUUUUGGAGUUGCGUUGGCGAGGACCUGAGUCCGGAGCCACCGAAUCGACGACAUACCUCAACCCUCAGCAGUUCAGCGGCAAGCAGUCUGUUUUUGCUGGAUGAUCAUCGGACUAGCUCGAUCUACACGGAUUCCUCCGAGGACAUUGCCAGUUUGGGUGGUGGUGACUCAUGUUGGGAAGAUCGAUUAAACGGCAUUGGUUCUUCAAGCAAGACCAUUUCGAAAAUUGUUGAGUACUUCGAAAAAAAGCAGGCGAUGGCGGGUAGGCUCGGUGAACACGGCGAUACCGCUGGUCCCAGCCGCCUGACCCUGCUGCGGGCCAGUUUGGAAGGAUCCGUACCCAUCAGUAACAUCUCAGCCGCGCAACGACUGGUCGUAUGUGAGGGUGCCGUACGUAGCAAACUUGCAUUAUUCGACAAGAAGUGAUAUUACGCCUGACGGUCGUUUGACAGUUUCUUAUCGUUUCCUUUUGACAUUCAAAGAGCGUCCGCAUAAAAAAGCCUAUACAAUGAAUGCGACAUAGAUUGAGGAGAGUUUGCCUCGUCAUCGUGCAUGAUGACGGCAAGUAUCCUGAGACGUUACACGACAAUUAAAUACAUAGCGCGUUCUUAUAAGCACGUAUAAUUAAGAGUGGAGAACAAACAAUGGUAGUUAUAUUAAAAAUAAUAGUAUUUGCGAUUUUAUUGCACAUAAAGAUUACGACAGGUAAAGAAGGGAAUUAAUAGUACCAGCGCGUCAUACAUGACUUGUAGGCAGGAUAGUGAUAUACACGCGCAGCGUGCUAAAGGACAUUUCUCUAAAAACCUAAUAACCUGACUGUGAUGUUUUUUGAUAAUCUACAUACAUACAUAAUUGAGCUGUACGACUGAAAUUUGGCGAAGCCAUCGGCACAUAGAAUCUUUAAUACAUGAGUCGCGUUUCACCUGGACUAUAACGAGACAUUGUUCGGAAGAAAAAAGCGAGAGAGAGGACGAAGCAAUAGCGAAUUUCUUUUGAAAAAUGCGUUUAAGAUUAGCGCUGGCGCAGUGCUAAUUGAUUUCUUGGAAUCGACGUACGUUUUGCAGUGCCUCGCAGUUCCUAGUAGCCAUCUCCGUCCUUAUGCACACGAACCGUGCUUAUUAUCGAUCACUGCAAGAGAGAUAUUCAGAUCGAAGAUAGAUAUUAUUACACACCGUGUCCUGAAUAUCCUUGUUAUGUGAAGCCGAGAGAAUUUGUGUACACUUUGAAAAAAGAACAUAUGAAACUGAUCUAGUCAGUGUAUUAAUGUGGCGGCCUUAUCUUUUAUACGUUGUAGCGCUAAAAACUUAGUAUUUAAGAUGAAACGGCGAGCGUGAAAUGAGCGCGAGAUGAAACUCUGGGCCUCCUGGUAGUACGUAAUGGUUUUUUUUAACAUCGGGAUAUUUAUACAAUAGAAAACGCGAGAGUGACAGCGUGUAAGACGAAUGAGAUGUAUACCUAUGUGUGUGCGCGUUGCGAGAAGAAAGUGUACUCGUCCAAAAUGAUAUACAUAUAGGUAGGCUCACACACAUAUACACAUAUAUAUAAAAUGUGAAUUGUUUCGUCAGACGGCGAGUCGAACCAAAUUUACGAUUGUAGGAUGAUAGAAUAAUAUGAUGAUACCUUUUUACUUGUCGAAGUUCGCUCACGGGUUUACUCUAUAAGACUGUGCGUUCGUUAAAGUAAUAUGUCGUAUAUAAGAUAGAGAAGCUCGAAAUCGCGUCAACGACAUUCGCAGUCUCUUCUUUUGUGUAUAAGAGGAUGCGCGCCGUGCACGGAGUUUUUUCUUCUCGUCUUAAUUUUCGUUCAUCGAGUCGGGGCCUUCCGUUUCUCCUCGAUGCGUCAAUCGGUACCUGAACAAUCGCAGCGAAGGAAGAACUGCGAACGAGUUAAUUCUUAAGCAUGCGGACAUAUCAGGAGUAUGGGCUGAGGUUCAACCCGAUCGAUAAAGGGCAAUAAAUGCGUGAUUAUAAGUGACGAGUGUUGCAAAUUAAUAGUGCGGAUGAAUGAGUGAAUGUGAACGAGGGAAAGAAAAAAAGAAAAAAAAAAUAAUAGAAAGCGAAGUCGGCAAAUCGAGAGACGCAUUUUAAAAAAGAAAUAUGGGUUAUUUAUUUUAAGUAAAAACAAUUAUAUUAAAGAUUAUAUAUAUAUAUAUCUAUAAAUCUAUAAAAGAUAUCGUCUCUUCCAUAUUUUUCAACUGUUAGUCUCUAAACUGUCUCUUCUUACUGUAUAUAUUUAUUACAUUACAAGAGGAUACACGUGCGAUAUCUCGGACUCUUCGUGAUUGUCCGUGUUGAUCGUCAAGAUAUAUAUAUAAUACAAAAGUUA